AAGUGAUGACAGCUAAGCCUUUAUUUAAUGAAAGAAAAAAAACACAGCGAAAAUGGCAGUCAAUAUGUACAGGCAAUGUCUGUUUACAAUUAUGGGUGGCAAAUAGAUAAACCACAAGUGUUUACUGUGCACCUAAAUGCCCCAGUGCUGAAGGCUAUGUAGGGCAAAUUAAAAGGAGUGAAAAACACCUGACCUGAACAUUCAGCCAAAGAGCUUGCAGUCUAACCAAAGAGACAGGACUAAAAUGAUGAAAGACUACUGGAGAAGACUGAAUGGCAUAUUGUGAAAGGAAGGAGAGGGAUGAGCUGAUCACUAGGUAAAGUGAGAGGUUUAGCUGUACUGUUUCCCUGCUCCAGGGACAAGAUGUGUCCACACACAGGCUCUGUUUCUGAGAAAGCAAAAGCAUGUGGAAAGCUGGCCUGGUAGAGAAAUGGGGGAUAAGGGAGCAUGAGACUAGCUAAAAGGUACUACUGAGAAUUAUAAACAUCUCACCUUUCCCUUGUCCUUCUGCAGAGCCCCCAGCUAUCAAUACAUUACAGCAGGAUGAGAAAGACCCAGGCCUUUGACAUCCCAGGCUUUGACAGGCCCAGGCUUGACAGUGUCUUGGCACAAUGUUGUGGGAAGAAUAAGCACAAUGAAGAGGUGCCUCAGGAAGAGGACACACUCAGCCACCCACCUCAUGGGACUGCUAUGAGAAUGACUGAAAUAAUUAAUUGUGAAGAGCUUUGUGCCCCUGGGAGUAAGAACACUAUGACACAACUGGAGAAACUGGUUAUUUUACCAAGGCUUAGGCUGGAAUGGUGUGCUUUCCUUUAAAGAAUCAAACUUGACUUAUGGAGCCAAUAAAAGCCUCUUGGGAAAACUGGCCUCAUACAUGUCUACACAGUCCCUGUAUAGGGUUCCUGACCUGUGAUAUAUUAUAAAACAAGAAAUUUAGUUCCAAUGUAUCCAAGCUGUCCCUUCGGAAGGUGAUCAGAAGAGAGAAAUGAGUUUGGAAAAGAAAAGGAAUAGCUGAACAAGAGCAAGUGAUUUCAGAAAUCUAAACCCUGAGAAAACAUGGGUAACAGAGAAGAACUUCUGCUGUGAUAUCUACUUCUGCAGGGAGUAGAGAAACAGAAGUAGAAGGUAAAUCUGAGAUGAGCACAGAGAUAUCAAGUGAAUUGCCCAAGGUCACCAACUAGUAAGCAGUGAAGCCAGCAUUUGGUACUUUGGUAGCUCUGACUCGGCAGGCUGUUCUACCCCUCUUUGGGAAAAGCGUCGCAAAUGAGCACACAGCUUCAGGGUGAAUUCUUACAGCAAAGAAAAGGAAAUGGGAUAGCACAGCCCUGCUAUGUCAGAAGAACCAACAUCAGACAUCAGUGGAUUCUCAUAGCAACAUCUCCCCACUGCUUCCUCUUGACACACAGGAAAAAUGUUCCAGAAUCAACUGGGAAGACUGGCAUUUCAUUUAUAAAUGUAAUUCCCAGGCUGGGUCGGUAACUCCUCCAAUCUUUCCAAUUACGUUCAUUUCAGAUAUAGGGGACAGAAAUGCUCCAGAAAAGAACUAGACCAUAUUUGGAGGAGGAGAGAAGGAGUACACCCUUCAUCUGUGUUGUGAACUAUGUGGAGGAGAGUAGUAUGUUACAGUACAGAGAGUCUUGGGGAGGCCAUGUGCAUGUGUCUUCAGGCCUCCACCUCCUUUCAACUUGAGGAGCUCUGCUUUUCCUUCUAUUUUAGAGGGGUUACCCAAAAUCUCAUCUGAAAUCUGGGUUCCAUGGCUAAAGAAGUUUAAAAACUGAUAGUGCCAUGACAAAGCCCUGGAUCAGAAGUCACAAAACAAGAAUCCAAGAAUCUCUCUCUCAGUUUGGCCACAAACAAGUCAUGAUUAAUCCUGGGUCAGUAAUUUUGCAAUCUUGGGUUGUAGUUUUCUCAGUGUAACACCAUUACUUUACAGAUUUCUAAGACUCUUGGCCAUAUUAAAAAUAUAUCAUCAUAUAAAACGAAAGAAAUAAAAGAUAUGUUAGUGACCUCACCAAAGAAAGUUUAAAAAGGUAAAUAAAAAUCCCAUGUCUCACAGAAAGAAAAGAAAUAGGGUAAGGUAAUUUAUUGAUAAAGAAUGUACUAACCAUCAUAUGAUCUAGUGCUCAGAACACCACCGUGAGAUUGGUCCCAUCAUAUAUUAAUAUUUCCCAAACACUUUUUUGGUUUGUUUUUUUUUUGUUUUUGGUUUUUUUUUGAGACAGAGCUUCACUCUUGUCACCCAGGCUGGAGUGCAAUGGCGCGAUCUCAGCUCACUGCAACCUCCGCCUCUCAGGUUCAAGCGAUUCUCCUGCCUCAGCCUCCUGAGUAGCUAGGAUUACAGGUGCACACCACUACGCCUGGCUAAUUUUUCUGUUUUUAGUAGAGACAGGGUUUUGCCAUGUUAGCCAGGCUGGUCUCCAACUCCUGACCUCAGGUGAUCCACCUACCUCGGCCUCCCAAAGUGCUAGGGAUUACAGGUGUGAGCCACAAUGCCCAGCCAAGAGUUUUUUUUUAACUUGGUAUUUUUAUUUAGCUUGAUGUAGAUAAUUUGUGGAUAACACAUCCAUGUGAAUUUACUAUUAAUCAAUAACAAAAGUUUAUUCAAUAACCAUGGCCCCUACAACAUGCCCUUGCUAAUCUCAGAAGCAAAUUAAACUCAGGUCAAAUGUACAUUGUAACAUCUUAGAAUCCUAAAAUCCAGGUUCUAACCCUGACUCUGCCACUUGAUGAGAAUUAAUGCAAUCUCCUUGGUCCUUAGUUUCUUCUGUCCUACCCCUAUCACAUUCUCAAAUAAGGGGCUAUGCUAAAUGAUUGGCCAUUGGCAUAUUAUGGUUGAUCUUAUACUUUUAUUUCUUGUGGCAAUCACACAGUCAGAAUAAGCCACAUGAAAAGGAAAAUAAAUUCAUGGAAGAAUCACCCAUUAGGUUCUAGUCACUACUUAAGGCAUCUGAAUGGAACAAGAGGAGACUAUGGGGGUGGGGGGAUUUCCACCAGGACUGAAACCAAUUAAAUAAGAUCUUAAUGAAGAGCUCCUGAUUCAGGUUUAUUAGAGAAGAAAUAAGGCAUUAAAGCUAAUGAAAAUAAUUUUAUAAAGUUGUAGCUGAAAGGUCAUAUUCCCUAGAACAAGAGAUAGUUAAUUAGAAGGUAAACAAUAGAAAAGUUAUUGGGUGAGCUCAGAGGCCAACAUGAAAGAAUAUAAAAAAGUAUUCUGCUUUAUAAUUCUAACUGACCAUUAUACAGAUGCAGAUUCAAAAUUAGGAAAUAAUGUAAUACCAAUUAGUAUAAACUGGUUAGUGUUUAUAAAUAGUUGGUACUUUAAAAGGCCUUUUCCAAAAUACCUAAAAUUGAAAUAUAAUAAUAUCCCAAGUAAUCUGAAAUUGCAUAUUUUGAUUUAAAGUUAAACUAUAAAUUCCAUUAGCAUUAAUGUUUAAAGGUAGACAAUUUACAGUAUUAAGCUAGAUGAGACCUCUCUCGUAAAAGAUUAGCAAUCCCAGAUUGUGUAUUUUUUUCUGGGUUGCAGACUAUUCCAGUUUUAACAUCAUACAUGACAUACACUCCUAAGCCAGAUAGCUUUGAGAAAGCAGCUGAUUAUGUCUUAGAACUUUGUUCAUUAAAACUAUAAAUUCCUAUCUCAAAUGCUUCUUGGAACAAACAAAUAUAAACAACGUGAAUUCUAUCGAAGCUUAUUUGAAUCACUUGAGGCAUUAUUUAUGGCUGUUUUUGAAAAUGUUAUGUUUGUUCAGUAAUAUUUUAUGAAUAAUGUUAAUACAGUUUUCCACCAAGUAACAUAAAGAUACCUGAUGAAAGAUAGAGAACUUAAAUUCAUGUAAAUGGUAAUAAAAUAGAAAAACCUCUGGGCUCUUUAUAAAAUAAACCAAACUUAAAUGCAUUUUCCCCAAACCAACAUACACUUAUAGGAAGUUAUUCAAGGCAUAAGACUGCAUAUAAAACAGGGAUUCUACCUUCAACAUUAAAUUCAGUGAAGCACUUUAUAUAUUGUGACUUCAAGGAAAGCUGGAAAAUUUUACAGUUCAACGGGCUUUCUCCUUUACUUUUUAUAGAGAUUGAAAAGUUAACCUUAAGACACUAGGCCAUUAUUUUGGCAAUAAAUAAAUCAUUAUAUCAUGUUAUACACCUUAAUAUAUACAAUUUUUAUUUGUCAAUUAAAAACACAUAUUUUUAAAGAAAUCUCUAUAGCUGUUGAAUAAAACGUCAUGUACUUAUGUUGUACAACUGACCAGAGUUUCUACCUAAUUCAAAAUUAACUAUUAUGACUGGCUUUUGAGGCAACUCUGAGAGUCACUCCCCAAUCCUUUUCAUCCUUUUGACUUUCAGGCCAACUACUUCCUUGGGAAACACCACCAUCUCUCAGUCAGCAAAGACAGAACCAGAGAGAGAGACUCUGCAAGUUCAGGAAGAAAGGUUCCAACUACUUUUACUCUCCGUUGCAUCUCCUAAUGUCACCACUUCCUCAGAGCAGGGUUUAGUCACUACUACAAAACAUUGCUCAGGAACUGCAGAGCCACUAGCCUGGCAUGUGGUGACACAUUCCCAACACAAUUCUCUAACAUUCUGAUUUCCCUUGCAAAGAUAAAUUCAAGCGAACUUAGAACUCUUAAAGAUCAGAUUGAGAUUGAAUGCCAUUGGCUUUCUCCCCAUACCUAUGCUCCUACACAUCUCUUCAGCCCAGCACAGGGUUUUAAAAGCUCACUGCUUAACACAGGGCUAUCUCCUCUGCUGGUUAUGAGCUGCAAGGAUAGAGUCCAUGUCCUGUUUGUGUUGGUGUUCCUGGCCACUAGCCAAGAACCUGCAGCCCAGCCCUAGAAUAGCAGUUGAAUGAAUGUGGCAGCCCACACACUCAAAGACACCAGAAUUAUCUUACCCUUUCCCAGAGAGCUUCAGGUACCUUUCUUUUCCUAAAUGAGUCACUAAUGUGUCUGUAUAAAUAUGGUUUCCAUAUAUGUCACAGAGCCCAAACAUUUCAUCUGACUUACUGUGGUUUACUUUUUGUGACUGCAUUUUUAUUAUAUCUUAUAUAAAAAGGGGGAUAUAACAGAAGGAAAAAACAGUAAAGCAAAAACCCAUAUCUAGCUUCAGAGCAUUACAUAUCCACUGGAAGCCCUAAAGCAAUGCUCCAUGAUCGCAUGGCCUUUCCGCUGCAUAACCCUGAGGUCAUUUUUUGAUACAUAAUUCUCAAAGUAUGCAGUGCUGAAAGACCUUGAAGAGCUUUCUUAAAUGAUGUUAUGGUUAAAAUUUCUAUGAUUGCAGUCCUUGAAAUCAUAAAAGAAUAAAUACAUCCUUGGAAAAGAUCUCACUUCUCUUCUUCUUCAUUCCUUCACAAUUCAGCCCCCACCUCUCAAGGAGCUGUCUAGAGCAUGGCGAGCAAGCUAAUGCUUUCCCAGAGUUUAUGACAGAUGCCAGUUUUAGUGUUCCCCAAAUGCUAACAUUAAUACACACAACUACUGUAUAGGGUAGUCACCAUUACCACCCCUAUCUGAGGUAUGAAGUUAGAAAUGUAACAAGUGACAGAGGUAGAAUUUGAACGCAUCUGAGUCCAGGCUCCUGGAACCAUGCUAUGUUGUGAUUUUCUGGGAUCUUGGGCUAUUUUUACAAUUAGAGAUGUGACCCAAGGGCAAUGGAUUUCCAUCCUGGUGAGUUCUUCUGGGGAGAGACUGCACUUCUCCCAGUCCUGUCCCCAACUCUUCCUCCUCACAGUUACCAUGUAGGAGCAUGAAAACUAUCCAUGUUUGCCCAGUAAGGUGGCAUUCUUCCAAACAUUAGCUGGCCCCACCUUAUAACACAUAAGCGAGAAGCUCUAGGUCACUUGACCUCAGGGCACAUGCAAAUGUUUAUCAGGCUGCCCAGUGACUUGUAGAGGCGGCAUUUCCUGGAAACAUCAUGGUUAGACAUUUCAUUCAGUGAGGUGUUCAGAACAUCUGAAUCACUCCUGUUGCCUAGCAACUUGUUUGUGUUUGGCAGGAUGAAGACAACUCAGGCACAGGUACAGUCGGAUAUAAGGCAGAAAUCUAUUCAGCACGACGUCCUCCCAACACUAGACUGCUGAUUUAGUGCUUAAACUUGACAGUGUUCUUUCCCACUUUCUCACUCUUGGUAGAGGCUCCUUCAGUCAUUCUCUUUAAGUCAGGAGCAUUCAAAAGGCACUAUGCUGUACACAGAAUAAACAGGUCCUUUGUAGCUGAAAUAUAGGCUACUAUUUUUCCUACAGAGUUUUGAAAAAAAACUUUUAAGACAAAGCUAAUUACAGGGUUCUUACAUAUAAAAGGGAAAAGAGUUAUACAGUAUCAUGGAAAUUACUUGUCAUCCUUAAAAGAAUUAGUUCUUUCACAUAUUCGCAUAUCUGUCCCUUUUCUUUGAUAACAAGAAUUGAUUAGCACAAUAUAAGUAGCUUCGGAAUCAAGGAGGUUCACCCUCCAAUACCGUCAUAAAUACAAAUAUAUAGCAAAGCUGGCCUAAAGUCACCUUACUAACCUUCAUCUUCAAAUUUAAGUUAGCAUGUGUGCCUGGGUUACUCUAGGAGCCAAAAAUCUAGAACAAAACACUGUGGGCUUGCAUUCCAUAUACAUUCUCCGACAGUUACGGCUUUUCCUCUAUUAUUUUAGGUCUCCGCUACUUUCCCAGUCAUUUCUAUGCGUUAAAUACUCAGAGAAAGAAAAGUGGUUUUAGAAAAGCCGCCCCCACCACCACCCCAAUACUGGGAUUUCUGUUGUUGUUUCUUUCGUUUUUGCUCUUCUUGUCAGAGGACAUGCCUGCUAUAGAAACAAGAAAAUAAGAUGUAAGGGUGUGCUUAAAUGUUACUCCUAAUCUUAGUGGGACAGUCCUGAGUUCUAGAUUUAUUAAAUGUUUAUGAACAGGAGGAUACAAAAGUUGUUUAGAAAAUUUUAUUUUUUCUUCCUUUCAUCCAAUAAUAUUCAUCCUUACCUUGGGGUUUCAGUAUCCUGAUAUUUGUAAGAACUAUUAAAAAUCAAAUAGAUAUGAAUUACUUCACUUUUUUAACAACUAUAAAAUGGGUAUAUGAGUUUACUUAGCAAAGAUUUUCAACUUAAACAUGUUAAUCCUUUAUCUCCUCCAAAAUAUUUUUCUUUUUGAAAGGCAUAUUUAAGGAAAAAAAUCUUUCCAUAUUAAAAAAUUCUUGAAUUCCACCAAAGUCCAUAACAGAUUUAAGAAAAGAGUACCCUCAUUAUCUAGAACUGGCUAACUGUAGGCUGCAAUUACUAGUGGCAAGAAAUAAGGGGGUUGAAUCACUCUCCAAACUAUUUCAAAGUCCUUAACCACAUCUCUCAAGCAAGUUUUCUAAUUUGGGGUUCGUAGUUGAUAGGUGGACCUCCUGAAGCCCUGUAAAAUGUUUUGGCUCAUGCAUAUAACCAGAAGUAGAAAGCUUAUUUCUUCAGAUUCUCAAAAUCGAAUUUAGGUCUUGGGAAAUCAAAUUGCCAGCAGAUAACUGAGGAUUUAACCUCAUGAAUUUGUUGCUGACUACCUGCUUAAUAUAAAUUGCAGUAACAUAAAAGAAGAAUGUUUGUUCCCAUGCUGAAACUGAAGAUUUCUAAUAAUUAAAUAGCAGUAGAGCCCCAUCUAUGACAGCAAGCCAGUUUACUGCAUUUGUAUACCCUGAGAGCUAAAUUACCACUAAUUGUCUCAUCUUUCGAAAAUGUAUUUAAACUUCAUUAGAUAUGUGAAUGUCUGUUAUGGCCAGGCGAAAGAGACCGACCUAGUCCCUGGCCUCACAAAGCUUGCAGUCUGGUUGGAGAAACAAACAAAUCAUUAUCACACAGGGAGAUAAAUGUUUAGAUAAUUGAAAGUUCAGGAUGCUAUAAGAACACAUUGCCAAGGCACGCAACCCAGUCUGACAUUUAAGCUAUGAGAAUUGGCAAAAUAUCCAGACGCUGAUGACAGCAGGUACUCUCACAAGUUUCUAGUAGAUAUGUAAUAAGAAAACCUUGGCCAGGUGCAGUGGCUCAUGCCUGUAAUCCCACCACUUUGGGAAGCCGAGGCAGGCGGAUUACCUGAGGUCAGGAGUUCGAAACCAGCCUGGCCAACAUGGCGAAACCCCAUCUCUACUAAAAAUACAAAAAUUAGCCAGGCGCAAUGGUGGGUGUCUGUAAUCCCAGCUAUUCAGGAGGCUGAGGCAGGAGAAUUGCUUGAACCCAGGAGGUGGAGAUUGCAGUGAGCCGCCGAGAUCGCACCAUUGCACUCCAGCCUGGGCAACAGAGAGAGGCUCCGUCUCAAAAAAAAAAAAAACACCUUCCUCUCAGAGAUGCAAUUUAAUGAUAUCUAUUAAAAUUACACAUACACCUUAUGACCUGCAAUUCUACUUUACAAGUUUAUAUAGAUAUAUUGUCUACAUGCAAAAUAACCUACAUACAGUUACUUACUGCAGUACUGUUUAAGAGCAAACAAUUGGCCACAACCCAAAUGUUGUCCAUCAAUAGAUCACUAUUUUAACUGUGGAACAUCCAUAAAUGGACUCUGUUAUUCUGUAACUGCUUUAAAAAAAGAAUGAGGAAAGUGUCUUAGUACUAGCUUAUUAAGUCCUCCUACAUAUAUUGUAAGGAAAAAAAACAUACAUUGCAGAGAAAUAUAGUACGCUAUCUUUUACAUUAUGAAGAGGGCAAAUAGGAAUAUUCCUAUUUGCUUAUUUAUGCAUAAAGAAAUUCUAGAAGGAUGCUUUAGACAUUGACAGAGGCUGAGAGGAUGGUGGAGGCAGAAUUUGGGCAGACUCUGUGAAUGCGAAAUGUAUGAAAAUGGUAUACUUAAAAAGUAAUCCUUACAUCAAGUGUGUGGGACAUUGCAAAGGAAAAAAAAAACAGUAAUCCUUUAUUUUUCAAGCCCAAGUUAUAUCAACCUAGCACCUUUUUUUGGUUUAUUAUUUUAACACACUUCUAAAAUUCUGCAGUGAUUAAAUUAGAACAUACGACUACUUUAUUUUCCAAAUCAGGGUUUCACUCUCUCCUUUCCUGCUUGUGUCCAUCUGCCAUCCUGAAGGGGGUUUCCCCAGAGUACCUGAGAGCGAGGCAAGUCCUCUGUGCCUCCCUGCUCUGGUUUGUUGGCUGAGGAUAUUCAAGAGCUUUUUUUAAAGCUCAUGAAAGGAUUUUGUUUUGUUCACUGCCUCAUUCGCAACACUGACAAGAAUGCCUGGCACAUAGAAAGCGUUCAGUAAGUAUUUGUUGAAUAAAUGAAUUCUUUUCUUCACUCAGCUUCAAUGAGACAGACACCACCAGACAAAGGGAAAGAUAUCAAAAUGGUGUCAAAUAUUUAGAAAUAGCUGCCAUUCUUAGUGCCAGCUCAAAGUAGGCAUUCUAACCUUAGCAACAUUCCUAGAAUUAUUGUGAAUUUCACAGAAGACAAAUAAUGUUAUAGAAUACUGUGCUGAAUAAUAUUAACUACCUACAAAUAUUUAUUUUAAAUGAUUUGGGAUUACAUGGUCCUGGUGUCUAUCUUAGGGUAGAAAUCUUUUUAGGCAAACACCACAAUAAACAGUAAUGAUAAAAAGUAAAAAAAAACAAAACAGCUAUCAUCAGGGUCAAAUGAACCCUAGUCUUAAGGUGCCCAGAGAUAUAGCAAGAAAAGGGAAACUCUUUUGCACUAAAAAAUGCAACUAUUUUUAUUUUCAAGAAUAAAAUUAUACUUGAAAUAAAAUUCCAAGUACUCUAGGCAGUGAAUUGAGUUGUACUGCUUCAACCACACAAGCAAAACCUCUUCUUCCUCAGUGGGCAUAGAAUGGGUAUAACUGCCACAGCUCUUUAAUUUUGGUUUAGAUAACUAUAAAAACAGAAUAACUUUGCUAGUAAUUUCCGUACUGUUGCUGAAAGGUGCAUGGCUGACUGAUAUCUCUUUGAAGAUUUUCUGUUUUCUUAAGGCAUGGUUGAGACAGUUAAUUGAGUGCUCUCUUUUGGCAGUAAUGCAAACAGGUUAGAAAGUUAUGGGGUUACCUCUAUUUCUCUGGCUGUCAUUUAAAACGGCAAUCCAAGACCGAGAAAACAUCCAUUCACCUGAAAGAACUUGAAAUUUAAGACUCUCCUGAGGAUGAAAUAAAAAUUCUCAGAGUUACGACAUUUAUGAAUGUCUUAACCAGAGAAGGGAAGAUAGCAGCAGCAAAGCUGCAGGACAACUGAUAGACAGCCAACCUUCAGCUGAUGUAAGUUAGACUCAUGCUAUAGCAGCAGGAAGCACCAAACCUACUGUUUCCAGAUGGUAGCACAGCAAUUCCCACCUUGGUCCUUGCAGCAGUCAACACUCCCAGUCUCUGGCAGGUCCUUUUGGAGAAGAGUGUUAUAGGGCCACAGGAUGCAGCUCUAGGGGAAGAAAAAGUCAGAGAUUAAAUAAGAAUGAGGCUUUGUUGCUAUGUUUUGCUAGUUUUCUGGGGGUGGAGGUGGAAUGAAGAGCCCUCUGAUGCUACCCUCCUAGAGCUCUCCAAUACUGGCCCUCUAGGAGAGUUGCCAGGAAAACACUGGCUAUAACAGGUACUGACACUUCAGGUCAAGAAAAGCAACUCAGCCAUUCACUCCACUAAUAUUUAACACCUGCCAGCCCCUAUUUAAAGUUGGAGCAGGGCAGGCAGGCAGAUUCCCUUGCCUCCUGAUGUUCGCGUUCUAACACAGGAACACACAGAUAAACAAGAAGACCAGUCAAUGUCACUCAAAAAAGUCAGUCAGAGUCAGGGCAAGGCUGAUGUGGUCGAUGUAGAGCAAGUGGUGUCAGGGAAGCCUUUCUAAGGGGAUAUUUAAGACUUAAUAAGGGUUGGGGAUGGGGGGGGUGGGGCAGCUACAAAAGAAGAGUAAGCCAGGCAGAGGGAACGGCUGGGCUGGCCCAAAGGCCCUGAGGCAAGAAUGAGCCAGGAAGGUUUAAAAAGAAUGGAAAGCACGGCGGGAGUAUUGUGAACUAGGCAUAGAGAAGGGAAGAGGAGUGCAGAGGGCUUUAUAGGACAGUAGAAGGACUAUGUACAUAAAGGGCAAACUAAGUGUCACAGAAACUUAGGUUGAUGUGCUGUGCAUAAUCUGUCACCUUCUACUAAAUGGUGGAAGAUUUCCUUUGAAAUACAUACAGUUGCUGCAGUCUUUCAAUGGAUUUUUUAGUUGAAAUUUGCCUUGUGGAUGGAAGCAAAAUAUAGGCUACUGGCCAGAGGUCUGCAGUUCAUAGAACCACAAUAUGAAUAUCCAAAGAAUACAACCUGAGACUACCCAAUAGUGCAUAUAUGUAUAUGAUUUGGUAGCAUAUAUAUAUAUAUAUAUAUAUCUUUUAACUACCUAACAAAUUUCAUUAAAAUCUGUUUAACAACUGCAGGAUGUACACUCAUGUGCAACCAGAAAUCGAUUUUUAGUUGAGAUCCCAUCUUAAUCAAAAAUACUCAACUCUUGGAAGAAACUCAAGAACAAAUGUGUCACUCUUAGGUAUAUACCCCCCAAAAAAAUGAAAACACCAGUCCAAGCAAAAACUGUACACAAAUAUUCAUAACAGCAUUAUUCAUAAUGGCCCCAAAGUGGAAAAAACCCAAAUGUCCAUCAACUAUUAAAUGGAUAAACAAAAUGUGGCAAACCCAUAUAAUAUUAUUGGGCAAUGGAAAGGAAUAAGGCAGUGAUACACACUGUAGCACGAAUGAAUCCUGACAACAUUAUUCUAAGUGAAAGAAGCCAGUCACAAAGACCACAUGUUAUAUGAUCCCAUUUAUAUGAAAUGUGCAGAAUAGGCAAAUCCAUAAAGACAGAAAGAUUUGUGGUUGCCAAGGGCUAGGGGAAGAAGAGAAUGGAAAGUGAAUGCUAAUGGGUAUAGGGUUUCUUUCUGGAGUGCUGUAAAUAUUCUAGAAUUAAAUAGUGGGGUUGGUGGCACAACUCUGAAUACACCAAAAACUACUGAUUUGUACACUUUAAAAAGGCCAGUUUUAUGGUAUGUGAAUUACAUCUCAGUGCAACUGUUGUAAAAUUAAAAGAACAAAAGAAUAUCUGAAAUGCUGUGAACAGAUGAAAUAAACUUCAACUGGCCCAAAAUGCUAUAUUCCAGUAAGCAUUACUAGACCCCAUUAAAAGGGACAAGCAGUUUAGUUUUACACUUCAGAUACUGUACACUACACUCCCCAUGGUACAUGUUUACCCCUCUGGAAAGAUCACCUUAUCCUUGGAGGAUGUUUUUCUCGUUUCACUUGGAACCCUUCUCCGGUUAUCACCCUCUCUCGACUCCACCUACCAUCCCCACUCACUCCACGCAAAUAAAAUUAAAGCAGAUAGUUGCUUUUGCACUCUAACUCAAGUCUGUGGACAAUUACAAUUGUUUAGAGCAUGGUAUUAAUGAUAUUUCUAAUAUGGUCAGCUUAUAGAUUUUAUUCAGUUACGUAGCCAAACCUAGCACUUUUCAUCUAGUCAAGCUGAAAAUGUGUGCCCUUGUCAAAAAGGAGAAUGGGCAAAAGGGUAGAUACUGGAAAUGCAAAACAAAUUCAAGCUUACUACUCCAAAAUCCCUUUCUGUAUAUAUCUUAACAUGGUGUUACAUUAAGACUACAUUCAUUUUAAAUAGUAUCUUAUAAGUUCAUGAUUUAUUUUAAAGUAUAUGUAGAAUGUAUAAUUUCACAAAGGAAUAAAGUAAAUUAUAUAACAACAGCAAAAUACUACUGUGAGAUGAUUAAUGUAGAAUCACAGAGGCAGGUAAAUAUAGAGAAGGUUUCUUGAUCACAAGGUGUAGUGGAAGAGGGAAUGCUAUCUCCUGGGACUGAAUAUUGUUCUACCUGCUCCCGGUAGCAAAUCACUGCAGAGACAGCAAAGCUUGAUGUUUAUGAACAAGGAUUCUGAAGGCCAACUCCACACUUAGCAUGACUCCACGAUUAAGUAUUAUGGCUCCAGGCAUGAUACUUAAUUUCCCUGAGCCUUAGUUCCCUCAUCUAUAAAUAGUACUAACUUAACAAGGUCCUUAAAAGAAUCAAAGGUUAUAUAAAAACAAAAAUAGAUCUAAAGGGAGAGACAGAUUGCAAAACAAUAAUAGUAGAGGACUUCAACACCCCACUUUUGGCAAUGGACAGAUCAUCCACGCAGAAAAUCAGUAAAAAACAUUGGAAUUAAACUAUACUCUAGACCAAAUGGACCUACUAACAGACAUUUACACAACAUUUCAUCCAACGGCUAUACAAUACACAUUCUUCUCAGCAGCACAUGGAACAUUCUCCAGAAUAGAUCAUAUCUUAGACCACAAAACAAGUCUCCACAAAUUCAAAAAAGUCACUAUUAUAUCCAAGUGUCUUUUCUGAAUCCAAUGGAAUAAAACGAAAAAUCAAUAACAAGAAGAGCUUUGGAAACUGUGCAAAUGUAUGGAAAUUAAGCAAAAUGCUCCUGAACAAUCAACAAAGAAAUUAAGAAGGAAAUUUAAACAUUUCUCAAAAUAAAUGAAAAUGGAAACACAACAUACCAGAACCUAUCAGAUACAGCAAAAGCAGUACCGAGGGAAUUUUAUAGCACCAUAUGCCUACAUCGAAAACAUAGAAAGACUCCAAAUAAAUAACCUAAUGGUGUACCUCAAGGAACUAGAAAAGAACAAAUCCAAAAUUAGUAGAAGGAAAUAAUAAACAUCAAAGCAGAAAUAAAUGGAGAAAAAAGAAAGAACCAAAGGAGUUAAUACUAAUAAAGACAUCAGAAACAGCACCUGGUAUAUAGUAAGCAUUAUAUGUAUUUGUUAAAUGAUUAAAAUAGAGCAUACUAGUUAAGUCUUGCAAAAUGACUAAAACUGUACUGCAUAUUUGGCUCUCAACUCCUUUGUAGAUAGAGGGGAAAAAAUUUUCCAAACUCAGAGAAAGAGAGAAAAUGCAUAUAUCUCCAUAUGUGUUUGGAGGAAGGCAAGUGGGAACCAUAUUUUGUUCCUCAGGAGGAAAAAGAAAGCAUUUGACACUUAACUUUAAUAUGGUCUGUACACAAGAGGCAAUGAGCAAUACUGCAGACCAGGGAAGACCGCCAUAUGACGUCACUUGAUAGUUUUUCACUGUUUCUCAAUAAAUCCCAAGGCAUAACUCUCUACAAUUUCUGUAGUAGGAAGACAAGGCAAUGUGAUACAAAUAUACAGCUCUGAUGAUCGGCUCACAACUGCACCAGAAAUCUCCAAUCCAUCUUUUACUUCCAUUUCCCUCUGCCAUGCUUCUGAUAACCAGAGCUGAGGAGGAGACAGUUCCAGAUCUCUGAAACAAAUUCUCCAACAUUAGGAGAUGGCCAAAAUAUAGCCACAUAAAAACACUAAGUAACCUGAUGCAUUGAAAAGCAACUCCCCCUAGAAGCAUCUGUUUUUAAGUUUAAUGGACUUCAGAGCCAUUGUCUGGCUAAAGAACAGCCAUAAUCAUCUCAGGGGAUUAAACAACUUGGAAGAAUAUUCCUAUUAGUCAUAGUCAUCUCAGGCUCCACCUAACAGUUAAACACAGAACUUUUAUGAAUUACAAAAGCUAUUAUGCUUAAGCCAUGUUUUAUUGUAAAUUGGACAGUAGAUAACUUUUCUUUAAAAGACUAGUUAUACGGUGCAAACCUUAGCUAGAAAACGACCCGUCUUCCUUCAGAUAGUCCCAUAUUGUACAUGGAAGACACGAUAAAGUUGAAUUUCCACAGCUAUUACACAGUCCUGUGACUAAGCUGAUGUCCCAGUGAUUUAUCAGCCGUUUUCAUUCCAUCUGGCAAAGCAUGUUGUUCUUAAGGCUAAUUAUUUAACAAUGUUUUCUUCAGAUAAAAUGGUAAUAAUCUUAUUAAUCAACUAUAGCAAUGUAUUUUCAUUUGCAUACCUAUGGAGUAUUGCUAAAGAGAAUAGAAAAUAGAUUAAUUCCCUUGCGGUUCACGUACACUAAAUGUAGCAUUCUGCAAGGAAGGAGAGCAAGAGAUGGCAUUUAUAACUAACUCCUGUGCAUUCUUGGAGAAGCUUUUUUUGACCAUUCCAGACCGCAUUUGGUUUCCUUUCCCUUGCUCCACGUUACUUUCUACUUUUUCUCUGACUUAACAGUUUGCUAACUGUAACUUUGGUCAGUUAUUUGUAGAGAUUUACUUGUCUCUUUCCAGUGAGACUGCAAGCUCUGUGAGGGAAGGGAUCACAUGUGUCAGAUUCUCUGCUGUCUUUCUGGCACAGAAUUGAGGGUUAUAAAUAUUUGUUCACUGACUAACUCCCAUUUUAUAAGAUAAGCUGUGUUCCUAAAGAAUCACAUGUCAGUUCCUCUCAAGAUAAGGAAGUCACUGAAGUAAUCUUAUAAGGGGAGGGAGUAAGCCCCACUAAUAUCAUUUAAUAUUAUGAAACAGUGACCCACAAGUUUGAACUUACAGAAGCAGAGUCCAUGGAUAUGGCUAUGGCAGAUGUGACUGAGGGGGAGGGAGAAAAGGAGUGGGGAGGAAUGACCCACUAAUUUAGAUGGGUACUUUCAGAGUGAAAGUUUAUUAUAAGAGCUCAAAUAGUGUUUUCUAAUUAUAGACUGUUAAAUUUAAAAUAUAUUGAAAGGCAACUCUGUACUUCUCUCUGCCCAAUGCAGACUGAAUUAAAAUAUCCAAGAAACAGGACUUUUUUUUUAAGCCCAGAAAGCCUGACACACCUAUUAAAAAGUUCUGUCUCAUAAGCUCUGCUUUCUACAGUUUCUGUUAGGUCUUCCAUGGCCCAGACAAUUGGCAAUCUUGUUCUUUCUUUCAUGACACAAAGUUGUUAUAUCCAAAUGAUUAACCUCCUAAGGUUAAAGUCAUGAGCGAUGACAAGAAGGUCAUAUAAUAUCAUAACAGUAAAAAUUAAAUAAUUUUAAACAAAUGCCUUCAAACCUUCACAAUAAAAGAAAAUAAACUCUUAUACUUUAACAUUUAAAGUGAGAAAGUGUUUAACCUUACCAGUGAGAAAAGAAACUCAAAGAAGUGAGAUACCAUUUUUCUACAUAUUAAAUUGACUCUUUAAAAUACCAACAUAAAAUUAUUACACUGCUUUCCAGGGCUAUUGUAAAAUAUAUUUCAUAUAUUCUAUAAACCUCCUAAGAACAUCAACAAAGAUUAGUUCUGAGCCUAUUAACCAAGACAUUGCCAGUAACAGUAAAAAAAAAAAAUGAGAAACAAGUGUCCAAUAAUAAGAGACAUGUUAAAAACAACAUGGUGGGUAGGUACAAUGGAAUAAUGAAAUGCUCCUAUCACAGUUAGUGGGGAAUGAUAAGAGGUGCAUUAUAUAUUCAUGGGUAUAAAACAAUGAUAUGUGUAUGAUCCUAUUUCUCCUGUUUCUACAAGUUGCAUGUGUAAAUAUAAAUGUGACUAGAAAGAUAAUGCAAAAUGCUAACAUAUAAUAGAUUUAUAGAUGACUUAAAUUUUUCUUUUGCUUAUCCAGGCAUAACAUUUCCUAAAAUAAACAUGAGUUGCUAUUAUAAUUAGAAAGUUAAAGAGAAAAGAUGACACAAAAACUCCCAAAACACAUUUCCAAAUAGCUACCAUAGUCACAUUCUUUUUUAAAAAAUUAUUAUGACUUGGGAGGCUGAGGCAGGCGGAUCACGGGGUCAGGAAAUCCAGACCAUCCUGGCUAACACGGUGAAACCCCGUCUCUACUAAAAGUACAAAAAAAAAAAUUAGCUGGGUGUAAGUGAUGGCAGGCACCUGUAGUCCCAGCUACUCGGGAGGCUGAGGCAGGAGAAUGCAGUGAACUCAGGAGGCGGACCUUGCAGCGAGCCGAGAUCGCGCCACUGCAAUCCAGCCUGGGUGAAAAAGUGAGACUCUGUCUCAAAAAAAAAAAAAAAUUAUUAUGACAAGCACAUUGUUUCAUAUCAUUAUGCUCCGAGGAUAAAAACGGUACACCUCAUUUUUCAUUUUGAUCAGUCUGUGUGUGGGGCAAGCAAAUAAAGGCAUUCAGUCUGGAAUCUUAAAAGUUUUCCUUUUAGCAAGAUGCCAUUUGUGGUGAUGUACCACCAAGUAGCAAAGAGGUCAGCCUCUCCAGUUAAAUAUAGCCUAAUUAUAUAGUUGAUAAAAAUAAAGGAAAAUGUACAUAUUUACUAUGAUUACUACUCAUGCUCAAAUAAAAUCCUGUCUUUGAAAUAGAAAUGAAACCCAAAGUAAAAAUAAAACAAGAAACUUAAUUCAAAAAUGUGAAUUAAGAUAGAAGCAAAUUUGGGAGGGGGUUAUUAUAGAGAAGCUGCCCUUCUUGCUUAGGGAGAGAGGAUAUUUGCUGGGAUGCAGAAAAACUCAUCAGGAUAUACAGAAGUGUUAUUGUCAAAACUGUAAGGAUCCUGUAGAAUAUACACCUGAGUAGGUUAACAGACUGAGCAGAAUGGCUAUACCUGAGUAAUUUAGUCAGAGCUAAGUGUAUGUUAACUAUCCAGGUUAGGCAGUGCCCUUCAGCUUUCUAGCCAUCCAAAUCUCUCGUUGACUGGAUGGUAAUUACUUGGACUACCUGGUUGGCAAUCCAUGUCCUCUAGUUUUUAUUUUCCUCUCUCCUAAUCUGUUGUUGUCCUUGUUCUUAAGAUUUCUAAGAGGUUGCUUACUCUAGCCUCCUCUGUAGUUAUCAGCGGUUUGCUUCUCUUGUGAGAAACUUGUUUGAAAGAUGAAUGAUUUGUACUUGUCAUAACUCUUACAAAGACUUCCACCAGGUGUACCAUGAGCAUGGCAUGCACCGUAGACUUCCACACCCUGCAGGCUUCCAAUAUUCCUUCCAAGCAAUCAGAAAGCAAGUUGCAUAUUAGCAUAUUUACAUAAACCCCUAUUUCACAAAGCAAAGUUUUUUCAAGUCUUCUUUUAAGUUUUAGAGGCAGGAUGACAUGCAGAGAGAACAAAACGGGAGUUAAGAAAUUAAAUAUUCAGGAUGCUAAGGAGUUAUUUGGUGGUGUCCAUAUGAAAGAGAGUAUUAAAGUACCAGGAAUCACUGGAGCAAGAGAAGAAGAAAGUGAAAUGAGGGGUACACUCGUAGAAGGUUUUGCAACUGAAUCUUGAGCAACAUAAAGGAAAAUAAAGCAAAGCCCCCAGAAGUUGGGAAGAUGAAUGCAUUUGGAUGAGUAUCAAGGUGGAAAUCAGAGGACCUGCCAGUGGAACCUCAGAAACCACCCAAGCUCUAAUGGGCUGUCACAAAACGGGAUGGUGAUGCUGACCACGUAAAUAGGUCAGCCACAUGCUUUUACCUCAGACUUCUAAGUCAUGCAAGGUCAGAGGCUACACCUCAGGUACUAUAGGAAGGGAAAGUGAAAGGAGUAAAUGUUACUAAUGUCAUUUUCAGUGAUCACACCUCUCUUCUUGGGCUAGGUACCCUGGAUGCCCCUUGAUCUCAGAAUAUGGCACCUUCAAGAGAAGGAUGGGGUUUACCACACAGAAAGAGAACCUCUGAGGUUUUCCCUUACCUCCAUAAAGAGUCUAAAGCUUGCUAUAGGAAAAAGUAAAGAAUAAUUCUUAUCUUUCCAAAAAGGCUUAGAGAUAGUAAACAAUACCAGUUUUCCAUCACAUUUCUAAACAAACAAAAAAGUAUAAGGGAAAUGUAACCACAUUGUCUUAGACCAUUCUUGCACUGCUAUAAAGAAAUACCUGAGACUGGGUAAUUUAUAAAGAAAAGAGGUUUAAUUGAAGUUCUGCAGGCUUUAUAGGAAGCAUGAUGCUGGCAUCUGCUUGCUUCUCAGGAAGCCUCAGGAAACUUAUAAUCAUGGUGGAAGGUAAAGGAAGAGCAAGCACAUCACAUGGCCAGAGCAGGAUCAAGAGACAGUGGGAGGAGAGAUGCCAUACACUUUUAAAUGACCAGAUCUUCUGAGAACUCACUAUUGUGAGAACAGUACCAAGAAGAUGAUACUAAAUCAUUCAUGAGAAAUCAACCACCAUGAUCUAAUCACCUCCCUGCAGGCCCCACAUCCAAUACUGGGGAUUAUAAUUCAACAUGAUAUUUGGGUGGGGACACACAUCCAAACUAUAUCACACGUGUAUUCUUUCCAGUGGGGAUACACACACUCAUUUUUCACUUUGUUUUUCAUUUCAAAUUUAGUACUUUGGCUAAAUUGUAAUAAUGUAAUAAUAAUGGAAUAAUGUAGUUUGUGAGCUACCCUCUAAUUGAGAGCAGAGGGAAAUAUGAUGAAAACAAGCCAAGGGCUUUCUGGGGAAAAGACCAUGGGCAAAAACUAUUUAUUACAAUUAGGAGAUCUGGUUUUAAUCUGGACUCUGAUAUUGUGAUCUUUAAAAAGUCAAUUGUGAUCUUUAAAAAGUCACUUUAAUUCUGUGGACCACAGUGAACUCAACCACAAUUUGCAGUUCAUCUGUACCCUCAGGACCCAGACAUCUCCUAGUACAUAGUAAGUAUUAUCAAGUAUUUGUUGAAGGAGAAAAAUAAAGACACUGAUUUAAUAGUCUCUCAAAUUUGUUCUGACUUUCUAUUGCCGGACUGUCCAAUACAACAGCUACAAGGUACAUGGGGCUACUUAAAUUUUAAUUUAAAUUCAUUAAAAUUUAAAAUUCAGUUCCUCAGUCACACUAGCUACAUUUCAAGUAUUCAAUAGGCACAUGUGAUGACUUGUGGCUACUGUACUGGACAGUGUAAAAUUAUGGAACAUUUCAGCAUUGCAGUCAGUUUUGCUGGACAGGAGUGCUCUCAGACAUAACUAAGGAGAAAGGCAACGCAUUGUACCCUCCUGUAGACACAGCUCUCUAUUCUAUGAAACUUCAUGAAAGGUUUACAGAGGGAACACGAGGAACUCAAGCAGAAAUUAAGCAUUCCCUUAGAGAACCAGUCUGUUUCUCUGCAUGUUGAAAGUACUGCUUCUCAGGAUAGUCUUCUCAACGAAUUGUGCUGAACAACCCGACUUCCAUAUGUAAAAAAAAAUGAAUCUAGAUACUAAUUUAUAAGAUAACAUAGAAGAAAAUCUAAGUGACCUUAGGUUUGGCAAUAGGUUGUUAGAUGUAACACCAAAAGCAUGAAAGAAAGAAAAAAUUGGUAAGUUGGACUCCAUUAAAAUUAAAAACUUCUACUCUAAGAAACACUGUUAAGAAAAAGACAAGUCAUUGACUAGGAGAAAGUAUUUGCAAAACACACAUCUGAUAAAAAACAUAUUCUAAAUAUAAAUAGAGCUCCUAAAACUCAACAAGAAAAAUAACCUAAUUAAAAGGUGGGCAAAAUAUCUGAACAGAUGCCUCAUCAAACAAGACAUAUAGAUGACAAAAAAUUAUAUGAAAAGAUGCUCAAUAUCAUAUGCAAUUAGGGAUUUGCAAUUUAAAACAACAAUGAGCUACAACCAUAUACAACAGCUAAAAUCCAUACUAACACCACCAAAUGCUGGUGAGGAUGUGGAGCAACAGGAACUCUCAUUCAUUGCUGGUGGGAAUGCAAAAUAAUCCACCCACACUGGUGGACAGUAAGGCAGUUUCUUAUAAAACUAAACAGAGUCUUAGCAUGUGACAAGGCAAUAGUUCUCCUUGGUAUUUACUCAAAUGAAUUGAAAACUUCUGUCCCCACAAAAGCUGCACACAAAUGUUUAAGCAACUUUAUUCAUAAUUGCCUAAAACUGGAGACAACCUAGAGGUCCUUCAAUAGGUGAAUGAGUAAACAAACUACGGUACAUCACAUAAUGCAGUAUUAUUAUUCAGGCUAAAAAGAAAUGAGCUAUUUCAAACUACAAAGACAUGAAGAAACAUUAAAUGCAAACUGCUAAAUGAAAGAAGCCAAUCUGAAAAGGCUAUAUACUGUAUGAUUCCAACUACAUGAAAUUCUAGAAAAUGUAAAACUAUGGAGACAGUAAAGAGAUGAGUGGUUGCCAGAGGUUGAGGAUUGGGGAGGAGUGAAUACGCAGAACACAGACUUUUAGGGCAGUGAAACUAUUCUGUAUAGUACUACAAUGAGAGCUACAUGUCAUUACACAUUUUUCAAAACCCACAGAAUGUACAAUAUAAAAAGUGAACUCUAAACUAUGGACUUUGGUUAAUAAUAUAUCAUAUUGGCUCCUUAACUGUACAAAGUGUACUACACUAAUGUGGGAAACUGAGGGGUAGGGGUAUAGCUUAUGGGAACUCAGUACUUUCUGUUCAUUGUUUCUGUAAAUCUGAAACUGCUUUUUAAAAAACGCCUAUUAAUUUACCAAAAAAGUAUUUCUCAGAAUUAGCUAUAAACUCUUAGUAUUAUCUAAGACAACAAUAAUCUGUUUUCACAAAGUAAAACAAGAAAUACUCCAAUUACGUGGUUUAAGAUGCAACGCAACACCCAAACAUUAGUCAAAAACAGCUUUCCUUUAAAGUUCAUAUGGAACCAAAAAACAGCCCGCAUCGCCAAGUC
rnacentral:lncRNA from 1 species